UCUGGGGUGGACAUGUGAACA
rnacentral:miRNA from 1 species